CUUUUUUUCCUUAAAAAAAUGUAAAAAUACCCUUUUUUCCCCCCAAAAAAACCAGAAAAAUUCCCUUUUUUCCCCAAAGAAAUUUGGAAUUAAUUUAUUUACUGGGAAUGUUGUGGGGGGAGGGGAAAAAAAAACUCUUUGGGAUAAUUCCAACUUUUCCAGGAAAAAAAAAUUCCCGGGAAAAGGGGGAGGGGUCGGGAAAUUUUUAUAUUUUAUCCUUGGAAUUUGAUUUCUUUUCAUUCCCGUUUUUUUUCCUGAUUGUUUUCCUUAAUUUUUCUCCAUUUUAUUUCAAAUUUUUCCCUUUUUUUUUAAAAUUUUUCCCGAAUUUUUCCUUCAUUUUUCCUCAUUUUUUUUCAAAUUUUUUCCCCAUUUUUUUCUUAAUAUUUCCCGAUUUUAUUUUAAAUUUUUCCUGAUUUAUUUUGAAUUUUUUUCCCAUUUUUCUUUCAAAUUUUUCCCAAAAUUUUUUCAUUUUUUUCCCCGAUUUUAUUUUAAUUUUUCCCGAUUUUAUUUUUGAUUUUUUCUUCAGUUUUUCCCAAUUUUUUUUCCAUUUUUUUCUCAAUUUUUUUUCCUUUUCUUGGGAAUUUUUUUUCCCGAUUUUUUCCCUUUUUUCCCCAUUUUUCCUUCUCCUCCUUUCCCGUUUUUCCCCCCCUUUCCUCGUAGCCCUUUUAGAAUUCGUGGUGGUUUUUUGUUGUUUUUUUUUUUUCCAGUUUUUUGGGUUUUCCUACAAAAAAAAAACAGAANAGAGUUGGAAUUAAAGAGGGAAAAUCCAUGGAGGAAACGACCGGAAAUGGGAAAAUUCCAGGAAAAACCUUGGAAAAAUUUGAGGAAAAACCUUGGAAAAAUUCCAGGAAAAACUUCGGAAAAACCUUGGGAAAAUUCCAGGAAAAACCUCAGAAAAAUUCCGGGAAAAACUCCAGAAAAAAUCUUGGAAAAAUUUUGGGAAAAAUUCCAGAAAAAACCUUGGAAAAAUUCUGGAAAAAAACUCGGAAAAAUUCCAGGAAAAACUUUGGAAAAAUUCAGGAAAAACCUUGGAAAAAUUCGGGGAAAAACUCCAGGAAAAACCUUGGAAAAAAUCCGGAAAAAACCUUGGAAAAAUUCUGGAAUAAAACUCGGAAAAAUUCCAGGAAAAACCUUGGAAAAAUUCCAGGAAAAACUUCGGAAAAAUUUCAGGAAAAAUCUUGGAAAAAUUCUGGGAAAAAUUCCAGGAAAAAACUUGGGGAAAAUUCCGGAAAAAAACUUGGAAAAACCUUGGAAAGAUUCUGGAAAAAAACUCAGAAAAAUUCCAAGAAAAACCUUUGGAAAAUGAGGAAUUUUGGGAACGAAGAAAAGAAAAAAAUUCCUGGAAAAAAUAAAAACGAGAAGAAAUAAAAAAUCCUGGAAAAAUUUUGGGGAAAAAAAAAACCACCUGGAAAAAAACCCCGGGAAAUUCCUGGAAAAAAUUCCCAAAGGACAAAAAAA
rnacentral:lncRNA from 1 species